GCUUGCUUCUUGGGGUUGUAGGACACUCUAUACGGAGUUACAAAAGAAAGUUAUAAAUGAAGCGGUCUGGAAAGGCCCGCCAAAGACGGUAACAGCCCGGUAGUUGAAAUGGCUUUCCCUCCAGAGUGGAUCCUGAGUACGGCGGAACACGUGAAAUUCCGUCGGAAUCCGGGAGGACCAUCUCCCAAGGCUAAAUACUCCCUAGUGACCGAUAGUGAACCAGUACCGUGAGGGAAAGGUGAAAAGCACCCCGGAAGGGGAGUGAAACAGUUCCUGAAACCGUGUGCCUACAAGUAGUUAGAGCCCGUUAAUGGGUGAUAGCGUGCCUUUUGUAGAAUGAACCGGCGAGUUACGAUUUGUUGCAAGGUUAAGCGGAAAAAGCGGAGCCGUAGCGAAAGCGAGUCUGAAUAGGGCGCAUAAGUAACAGGUCGUAGACCCGAAACCAGGUGAUCUACCCAUGUCCAGGAUGAAGGUAAGGUAAUACUUACUGGAGGUCCGAACCCACGCACGUUGAAAAGUGCGGGGAUGAGGUGUGGGUAGCGGAGAAAUUCCAAUCGAACUUGGAGAUAGCUGGUUCUCUCCGAAAUAGCUUUAGGGCUAGCCUCGAGGUAAAGAGUCAUGGAGGUAGAGCACUGUUUGGACUAGGGGCCCUUCUCGGGUUACCGAAUUCAGAUAAACUCCGAAUGCCAUGUACUUAUACUCGGGAGUCAGACUGCGAGUGAUAAGAUCCGUAGUCGAAAGGGAAACAGCCCAGACCACCAGUUAAGGUCCCCAAAUAUAUGUUAAGUGGAAAAGGAUGUGGGGUUGCUUAGACAACCAGGAUGUUGGCUUAGAAGCAGCCACCAUUGAAAGAGUGCGUAAUAGCUCACUGGUCGAGUGACCCCGCGCCGAAAAUGUACCGGGGCUAAACAUAUUACCGAAACUGUGGAUGAACCUCUUUAGAGGUUCGUGGUAGGAGAGCGUUCUAAGGGCGGUGAAGUCAGACCGGAAGGACUGGUGGAGCGCUUAGAAGUGAGAAUGCCGGUAUGAGUAGCGAAAGAAGGGUGAGAAUCCCUUCCACCGAAUAUCUAAGGUUUCCUGAGGAAGGCUCGUCCGCUCAGGGUUAGUCGGGACCUAAGCCGAGGCCGAUAGGCGUAGGCGAU
rnacentral:rRNA from 1 species